GGGGCUGAUCGGUUUCGACGUAGCGGUUUUUUCGUCGUAUCGUGCGACCGGAGUUGCUCAGACUCCUAAAACGGGGCUUCUAAGACACGGCAAUGAACGUGUCGCUCUCGCCGCCUGAUUUUUCAGACGUCAGAGAGUCACAGGGACCAGCAAUGAUUCCCGGGGCCUGACCACUACAGCCUGGCAACAGAAGUAGUGGUGGACAGCAGGGAAAGACCGCUGACGGCGAGAAAGACCGCUGACUCCGGAGAAAGUACCGGCGGUGUGGGUCGAUAAGAUCCACUCUGACCCGACAGUGUGGUGACCGCAAAGCCACGAAUCGGGAAUGGUCGUAUCACGAGCGGUGAAUCCGAAGCGGACGGGGGUUCGAUUCCCCCCAGCUCCACCA
rnacentral:tmRNA from 1 species